rnacentral:misc_RNA from 1 species
UCAGCGGGUAGUCCUACUUGAUUGGAGAACAAGCUAUAAAGACAACAGUUUGUUGUGGUUUUUUGUGGUAAGCCUACUUGAAGAUCGACAGUGCAAAAGCAUAAGAAAGGCUAUUGAAAUUGGUUUACAACAAUAGUUCAAAGCUCGUAAUAACACUGAGGUUUUCGGCUCUUUGUAUUUCAACGCAGUUGUCCCCGAAAAGACAACAAAAGCGUCACGAUCCUAACCCUAGCUGCCCAGAUCCGAAGAUGAGGACGGGGUUGAGCGUUUCCGUUACUCCAACAAGCAUGCUCCCAGGAAUAACCCGAGAGCGCAAGAUGCGUUCAAAGAUUCGAUGAUUCACUGAAUUCUGCAAUUCACAUUACAUUUCGCGCUUUGCUGCGUUCUUCAUCGAUGCGAGAGCCA